UACGUAGGUGGCAAGCGUUGUCCGGAAUUAUCGGGCGUAAAGCGCGCGCAGGCGGUCCUUUAAGUCUGAUGUGAAAGCCCACGGCUCAACCGUGGAGGGCCAUUGGAAACUGGGGGACUUGAGUGCAGAAGAGGAGAGUGGAAUUCCUGGUGUAGCGGUGAAAUGCGUAGAGAUCAGGAGGAACACCGAUGGCGAAGGCGGCUUUCUGGGCUGUAACUGACGCUGAGGCGCGAAAGCGUGGGGAGCAAACAGG
rnacentral:rRNA from 1 species